GACGAACGCUGGCGGCGUGCUUAACACAUGCAAGUCGAACGGAAAGGCCUCUUUCGGGGGGUACUCGAGUGGCGAACGGGUGAGUAACACGUGAGUAACCUGCCCUUGACUUUGGGAUAACUUCAGGAAACUGGGGCUAAUACCGGAUAGGAGCUCCUGCUGCAUGGUGGGGGUUGGAAAGUUUCGGCGGUUGGGGAUGGACUCGCGGCGUAUCAGCUUGUUGGUGGGGUAGUGGCUUACCAAGGCUUUGACGGGUAGCCGGCCUGAGAGGGUGACCGGCCACAUUGGGACUGGGAUACGGCCCAGACGCCUACGGGGGGCAGAAGGGGGGAAAAUUGCACAAGGGGUGGAGGCCGGAUGCAGCAACGCCGGGUGCGGGAUGACGGCCUUCGGGUGGAAAACCGCUUUCGCUCAUGACGAAGCUUUGUGUGACGGUAGUGGGUAAAGAAGCACCGGCUAACUACGUG
rnacentral:rRNA from 1 species